rnacentral:ncRNA from 2 species
UGGCCUCAGACGGGGAGCCCCUGAGGGGCUGAGAGUAUCCCGCGUGAGGGAUAGACCCUUGGAACCUGAUCCGGGUCAUGCCGGCGUAGGGAGUUCGGGGAGAGAUCAGC